rnacentral:tRNA from 1 species
AUUUAUAUAAUAUAAUAAUUAUAUUUGACUUCCAAUCAAAAAAUCUAAUCCUUAGUAUAAAUA